ACAACCACCAGACUAUGAAUCUCUUGAGCUAAUAUUGAAGACAGUGAUCUGCAGAAUAUUCUAGAUGAACUGAGUUGAUCCUGCUUCCUAUAUGAUUUUUUAAUUAGUGAUCUGAGCAGUUCUUUCUCCCAAGAAGAUGUUGGAAACCAAACAUGCUAUUAUCAGAUUCUAACUGGAAAGAACGACAACUUUAUAUCAGAAAGGAAACCAGAAAGUUGUCGUAUGGAAUGUUACCCAUUAUAGCAAGG